rnacentral:rRNA from 1 species
ACGCUCGACACCUACAGGAGGCAGCAGUAGGGAAUCUUCCACAAUGGACGCAAGUCUGAUGGAGCAACGCCGCGUGAGUGAAGAAGGUCUUCGGAUCGUAAAACUCUGUUGUUAGAGAAGAACACGAGUGAGAGUAACUGUUCAUUCGAUGACGGUAUCUAACCAGCAAGUCACGGCUAACUACGUGCCCGCAGCCGCGGUAAUCUGAGCGGGCUGGCAAGGC